rnacentral:rRNA from 1 species
CAGCGCCACAAGUGGCAAUCACGUUUAUUGGGCCUAAAGCGUUCGUAGCCGGUUUUGUAAAUCCUAUGUGAAAUCGUCAAGCUUAACCUGACGUCGUGCAAAGGACACUACAGAACUAGAGACCGGGAGAUGUUAGAGGUAUCUUGGGGGUAGCGGUAAAAUGCAAUAAUCCCCGAAGGACCACCUGUGGCGAAAGCGUCUAACAAGAACGGGUCUGACGGUGAGGAACGAAAGCCAGGGGAGCGAACCGGAUUAGAUACCCGAGUAGUCC